rnacentral:rRNA from 1 species
AUGGGAGGCAUGGGUGGCUUCAGAGGUACCAUGAGCGGUUUAGGCGCCAUGGGAGGCAUGAGUGCACCUCCGGCCGCCAUGGGAGGCAUGGGUGGCUUUGGAGCACCCUCCGACGCUAUGGCCGCCAUGGGAGGCGUGAGUUUUGCUUCUCUCAUGGGAGGCAUGGGUGCACCUUCGGCCGCCAUGGGUGGAAUGUCUUUCGAUGUGCCUCCUCACACACAUUCCCAUAAAGAUGCCGUUGAAGAUCUUGCCAACACCGUCGGAGCUUCACGUGAUGCGGUGCGUGAUGAGGUGAGGGAGGAAGAUUCAUCUUCGAAGACGGAAGAAUCGUCUUCAGAAGAUGAGGACGAAGACGAGGAAGAGGAUUGA